GUUUGAAGGUGAGCUCAGCCAGGACAGAAACCUUGCGUAAAGUAUAAGGGCAAAAGCUUACUUGAUUUGGAUUUUCAGUACGAAUACAGACCGUGAAAGCGUGG
rnacentral:ncRNA from 1 species